UAUAAUACUGUGUUUCUACUACACUGAAAUUGAGCAAUUUCAGUACAAAAUUCAAGAAGUUACGAAUUUUUUUUUUUAAUUAAGUGUCAACUUUUUUUUCUGUGGGUCGACCAACAGUGCGCACUUCUUCUUCAGAGUACGUAGUUAUAACUUCAUGGCUAUAAUCAAUUGCGCUUUCGUCCCAUCUCUUGGAAAAGUGAAGAACCCAUGCGCGAGUUGCGCUAACCAAGGCAACCUUAAUGAAGAUACACCGACAUAUCCGGUUAAUAGUUUCACUAUGGUCUUUCUUCGGUGCAGCAGUGCUACAGCUGCGGGUGAUCGUCGGCAAAGAACGUAUAUUGUCUGAGACAAGCGGCUCACUCUACAAAUGUCUCAAAUUAGAAUUCAUGAUAACAGAAAUAGUCAAUUGCCGGUCUUGGCAUACACGCUCAGAAGAGAUAUAAACUAAAUACCCUUAUAUAAAGCCGUUAUUCUUUUAAAUGUUAUUUAUUGAUAUUAAUAGUUACAAUUAAACGUCGUAAUAAACUUACAAUUAUACUUGUGUAUUUAAAGAAAAGUCAAAAUUAAAUGUUUAUUAUUUAUAUGUAAGUAUCAUUUACUAUGAGCACAAAUGCUCAAAGGUUAAUUGUACUUUGGAAGGAAUAACCUUCCAUACUAUACAUACUGAUUCUCAGCUUUAAUAUAUGUACAUAUACAUAUAAGCUUAUUUUAUUACAUUUUCGUCUCGGGUUAAGUAUUGCAGCUGAUCCAUUGACCAUACAUAGAAUUAAACCAAUCAGCCAGAUGGAUCUUUUUGUACAAAGUUUCACAUUCAUUUUUAUAUAAUAUACACAAUAAGGGUUUUUAAAAACUGGAGAUGCGCACAAAAAUAUUGCGGGCUGAUCUUGAAUAAAUGGUUUUAUUUAUCCUUUGAGUAAUGCACCUGUGGACUAUUUAAUAUAUUCUGCAUUUUUGAAAGUUUAUCUGGCCAUUGAAGUUCACAUUUCUUCUAAUACUAAGCAAGUACCAUAAGCCCAAAAAUUUUUGUUAAAUAUAUAAACGUACGUAAAUACAAAUAAAAAA